UACGUAGGGUGCAAGCGUUGUCCGGAAUUAUUGGGCGUAAAGAGCUCGUAGGUGGUCUGUCGCGUCGGCUGUGAAAACUCGGGGCUCAACCCCGAGCCUGCAGUCGAUACGGGCAGACUCGAGUGCGGUAGGGGAGACUGGAAUUCCUGGUGUAGCGGUGGAAUGCGCAGAUAUCAGGAGGAACACCGAUGGCGAAGGCAGGUCUCUGGGCCAUUACUGACACUGAGAAGCGAAAGCAUGGGGAGCGAACAGG
rnacentral:rRNA from 1 species